rnacentral:tRNA from 1 species
GCCUGGCUGGCUCAGCCAGUAGAGCAUAAGACUCUUGAUCUCGGGGCUGUGAGUUCGAGCCCCAAGCUGGGCA